rnacentral:rRNA from 1 species
AACGAACGUUGGCGGCGUGGAUUAGGCAUGCAAGUCGUACGCGAAAGAGGGGGCAACUCCUCGAGUAAAGUGGCGAACGGGUGAGUAACGUGUAGGAAACCUGCCUUCGAGAUGGGGAGUAACACUCCUAACGGGGUGGCUAAUACCGAAUGACACUGCGGGAUCGCAUGGUUCUGCAGUCAAAGGUGGCCUCUGCUUGCAAGCUACCACUCAAAGAUGGUCCUGCGU